rnacentral:rRNA from 1 species
UACGGAGGGUGCGAGCGUUAUCCGGAAUUACUGGGCUUAAAGGGUGCGUAGGCGGCUUGGUAAGUCAGGAGUGAAAGUUUGCGGCUCAACCGUAAAAUUGCUUUUGAUACUGCCAGGCUAGAAUCAGGAUGAGGUCAGCGGAAUGUGGCAUGUAGCGGUGAAAUGCAUAGAUAUGCCAUAGAACACCUAUUGCGAAGGCAGCUGGCUAGACCUGUAUUGACGCUGAGGCACGAAAGCGUGGGGAGCGAACAGG